rnacentral:lncRNA from 1 species
UCUCUACUAAAAAUACAAAAAUUAGCCAGGUGUGACGGCAUAUGCCUGUACCUGUAAUCCCAGUUACUCAGGAGGCUGAGGCAGCAGAAUCAGUUGAACCUGGGAGGUGAAGGUUGCAGUGAGCCGAGAUCGCACCAUUGUACUCCAAUGUGGGCAACAAGAACCAAACUCCGUUUCCCCCAAGCCCCCCGGCCAAAAAAAAAAAAAAAGAAAGAAAAAAAAAAGAAAACGCCCACAAGAAGAGAUCUUUCUCUAAGGGCUGUCGGGAGGAAGAGUGGACUCAUGGGCUAUGCCUGGCACACAGGGCCUGCUCUUUCCAGGCAGGCCGUUAUUCUCAUUCCACAGUUAACGACUGUCUUGGUCAAAUCACCUGUGUGGUGAUAUCUGGAAGCCUUUCCAUGUUACCGCAGCGUGGGAGGAAAGUAGCCUGGCAGGGCCCCAGAGAGCAAAGGCACUGAUGCCCAGUGUGCGCCUGAGACACAGGGGCUGAGAGCCCCAGCCGCUGGCCCCUCCCUCCAGGGCUGCAGCUGGGCUGAGCCUCCAGGAGGGGGGUGCUGUGGUGACUGGGCCCAGAACAGAGCUGGGAAUUGGGAAUGUGGGUCCCAGUCCUGGCUCAGCCACCAGCUGUCUGAGUUACUUUGGGCAGGUUGGUAGCCCUCUCUGGGCCAAGGCACUCUCCACUGUAGCAGGAGGGGUGUUCGUGGUGCAACUUAGGAAGGGUUCAGCCGAUGUCGCUGGAAAGAACUGUGGUCUCAUCUGAGGCUCAACCGGGCAGGAGGGAUCUGUUUCCAAGCUCCUUUGCAUGGAGGGGAAGCGGGGGUCACAGAGGGCAUGAAUUCCAGGAGGCAGGGAUCAUUUAGGGGCCAUUUUAGAGGCUGGCUGCCACACUGGGGGAUGGAGCCCUGUGGACUAGGGUGCCCCCAAACCUUCCAAAAUUCUAGGCUGCAUCCUCUACCCCAGGACAGGGACUCCCUGAGCCAGAACCAUCAGCUCCUGGAGGGGACCUGGCCCAGAGGGAAGAGAGGAGUGAGGCAGAGCCUGAGACCCAGAAAAGAAAGCUCACUCCCGGGACCCCUGGGCCGGGGGACCUGCCCUCCCAAAACCUGCCUUCCCAAGAUGCCCUUGAAGGGCUGGGCUCGGACCCGCACCUGGGCCAGGAGAGAGCAGAACUUCAAAGACCACCAAGGAUGGACACCCCUGAGUCUGAGAGAGGAGGACCCUCAGGAUCAGAAAGCAGAGACCCCUCAGCGUAAGAGGGCGGAGGCCUCCCGGGGCGAGAUCAAAGAUGCUCCUCAGAGUCAAGAGGGUGAAGACACACGGGGGCCAGAGCCCAAGGGUUCCUCAGGGUCAGAGGGAGGAGUCGAAGAGAAUUUAGUCCUAAAUGCCAGGGAAAGGCGAGUCCCCAGAGUCCAGGGAAGAAGAUGCUGCGGUCUUGGGAAGGCAAUAUCUCACAAGCCUGGGAGGUGGCUCCCGGAGAGGCCACUGUGCAGCCCCCAGAGGAAGGCGACCCCCAUAGCCAUCCGAGGGACCCCUGCGGGUCCCUGAAAGCACAGACUCCAAAGCCUGUGUGCAGGGAGAGCCCAAACCUCCGGAGAAGGACUACCACGCUGACGCAGAGCAUGAUCAAAGGCGAGACACAAAGGUCCUGGAACGCCUCCACAUCGCCAGGAACCGCCACUGCCGGGAUCACCCCGUGGGGCUCCCGCCCAGUCCGGCUCAACUCCCGCCACAGGCAAGACCCCUAGAAGGAGGUGGGGCCACAAGGAGCCUGCGCGGGGCAGGGGCCGAGCUUGGCGCGCCCGGGUCCCUUUGAAGUGAGCGCACUGCACUCUGGCAGUGACUCGGCGGGGCGCG